rnacentral:rRNA from 1 species
UACGUAGGGUGCAAGCGUUGUCCGGAAUUAUUGGGCGUAAAGAGCUUGUAGGCGGUUUGUCGCGUCUGCUGUGAAAUUUCGGGGCUCAACCCCGAACUUGCAGUGGGUACGGGCAGACUAGAGUGCGGUAGGGGAGACUGGAAUUCCUGGUGUAGCGGUGAAAUGCGCAGAUAUCAGGAGGAACACCGGUGGCGAAGGCGGGUCUCUGGGCCGUAACUGACGCUGAGGAGCGAAAGCAUGGGGAGCGAACAGG